rnacentral:rRNA from 1 species
GAUCAUUACCGAGUUUUUUCAACUCCCAAACCCUUUUGUGAACAUACCUAUCGUUGCUUCGGCGGACUCGCCCCAGCGUCCGGCCGGCCCCGCGCCGGCCGCGGCCUGGAUCCAGGCGGCCGCCGGAGACCCCCAAACUCUGUAUUCUCAGUAUCUUCUGAAUCCGCCGCAAGGCAAAACAAAUGAAUCAAAACUUUCAACAACGGAUCUCUUGGUUCUGGCAUCGAUGAAGAACGCAGCGAAAUGCGAUAAGUAAUGUGAAUUGCAGAAUUCAGUGAAUCAUCGAAUCUUUGAACGCACAUUGCGCCCGCCAGCAUUCUGGCGGGCAUGCCUGUUCGAGCGUCAUUUCAACCCUCGACUUCCCUUUGGGGAAAUCGGCGCGUUGGGGACCGGCCGUAUACCGCAAUUGCAGACGGCCCCGAAAUGAAGUGGCGGCCCGUCCGCGGCGACCUCUGCGUAGUAAUCCAACUCGCACCGGAACCCCGACGUGGCCACGCCGUAAAACCCCCGACUUCUGAACGUUGACCUCGGAUCAUCGGAUCAGGUAGGAAUACC